rnacentral:rRNA from 1 species
CUACGGGUGGCACCAGUGAGGAAUUUUGCGCAAUGGGGGAAACCCUGACGCAGCAACGCCGCGUGAGUGAAGAAGGCCUUUGGGUCGUAAAGCUUUGUCAACAAGGAAGAAAUUACAAUUAUUUAAUAGGUGAUUGUAUUGACGGUACUUGUGGAGGAAGCGCCGGCUAACUCCGUGCCAGCAGCCGCGGUAACACAGGGGGCGCAAGCGUUAUUCGGAAUUAUUGGGCGUAAAGGGCGCGCAGGCGGUCUUGUCAGUCAGGUGUGAAAGCCCGGGGCUCAACCCUGGAAGUGCACUUGAAACAGCAAGACUUGAAUACGGGAGAGGAGAGAGGAAUUCCUGGUGUAGAGGUGAAAUUCGUAGAUAUCAGGAGGAACACCGAUGGCGAAGGCAUCUCUCUGGACCGAUAUUGACGCUGAGGCGCGAAGGCGUGGGUAGCGAACGGGAUUAGAUACCCCGGUAGUC